GAAGACGGCGUCUCCAAGCCCAGGAGAGAGGCCUCAGGAGGAACCAGCCCUGUCUACACCUGGAUCUCAGACGUCCAGCCUCCAGGACUGUGGGAGAAUCAAUGUGUUUUGUUUCUAAGCCGCCCAGUCUAUGGUAUUCUGUGAUAGCAGCCUGAAAUGGACUAAGACAUCUCAUAAAAAGGACAUGAGGAUACAGACACACAGAGGGACGACCCUGUGAGGAUACAGGGAGAAGAUGGCGUCUCCAAGCCCAGGAGAGAGGCCUCAGGAGGAACCAGCCCUGCCCACACCUGGAUCUCAGACGUCCAGCCUCCAGGGCUGUGGGAGAAUCAGUGUGUUUUGUUUAUAAGCUGCCUAGUCUGUGGUAUUCUGUGAUAGCAGCCUGACAUGGACUAAGACAUCUCAUAAAAAGGAGAUGAGGACACAGACACAAAUGGAGGGACGACCCUGUGAGGAUACAGGGAGAAGAUGGCAUCUCCAAGCCCAGGAGAGAGGCCUCAGGAGGAACCAGCCCUGCCCACACCUUGAUCUUGGACUUACAGCCUCCAGGACUGUGGGAUAAUAAACGUCUGUUGUUUACAAGCUACCCAGUCUAUGGUAUUCUGUGAUAGCAGCCUGAAAUGGACUAAGACAUCUCAUAAAAAGGAGAUGAGGACACAGACACACACGGAGGGACAACCCUGUGAGGACACAGGGAGAAGACGGUGUCUCCAAGCCCAGGAGAGAGGCCUCAGGAGUAUUCUGUGAUAGCAGCCUGAAAUGGACUAAGACAUCUCAUAAAAAGGAGAUGAGGACACAGACACACAUGGAGGGACAACCCUGUGAGGCUGCAGGGAGAAGACGGCGUCUCCAAGCCCAUGAGAGAGGCCUCAGGAGGAACCAGCCCUGUCCACAACUGGAUCUCAGACUUCCAGCCUCCAGGGCU
rnacentral:lncRNA from 1 species